CCUACGGGAGGCUGCAGUCGAGAAUCAUUCACAAUGGGGGAAACCCUGAUGGUGCGACGCCGCGUGGGGGAAUGAAGGUCUUCGGAUUGUAAACCCCUGUCAUGUGGGAGCAAAUUAAAAAGAUAGUACCACAAGAGGAAGAGACGGCUAACUCUGUGCCAGCAGCCGCGGUAAUACAGAGGUCUCAAGCGUUGUUCGGAAUCACUGGGCGUAAGGCGUGCGUAGGCUGUUUCGUAAGUAGGUUGUGAAAGGCGCGGGCUCAACCCGCGGACGGCACAUGAUACUGCGAGACUAGAGUAAUGGAGGGGGAACCGGAAUUCUCGGUGUAGCAGUGAAAUGCGUAGAUAUCGAGAGGAACACUCGUGGCGAAGGCGGGUUCCUGGACAUUAACUGACGCUGAGGCACGAAGGCCAGGGGAGCGAAAGGGAUUAGAUACCCGAGUAGUC
rnacentral:rRNA from 1 species